rnacentral:rRNA from 1 species
GACGAACCGUACGAACGUUAUUCGGAAUCACUGGGCUUAAAGGGUGCGUAGGCGGCGCGGAAAGUUGGGUGUGAAAUCCCUCGGCUCAACCGAGGAACUGCGCCCAAAACUACCGUGCUUGAGGGAGACAGAGGUGAGCGGAACUAAGGGUGGAGCGGUGAAAUGCGUUGAUAUCCUUAGGAACACCGGUGGCGAAAGCGGCUCACUGGGUCUCUUCUGACGCUGAGGCACGAAAGCUAGGGGAGCAAACGGG